rnacentral:rRNA from 1 species
CAGGCUUAACACAUGCAAGUCGAGGGGCAGCAUGGUCUUAGCUUGCUAAGGCCGAUGGCGACCGGCGCACGGGUGAGUAACACGUAUCCAACCUGCCGUCUACUCUUGGACAGCCUUCUGAAAGGAAGAUUAAUACAAGAUGGCAUCAUGAGUCCGCAUGUUCACAUGAUUAAAGGUAUUCCGGUAGACGAUGGGGAUGCGUUCCAUUAGAUAGUAGGCGGGGUAACGGCCCACCUAGUCUUCGAUGGAUAGGGGUUCUGAGAGGAAGGUCCCCCACAUUGGAACUGAGACACGGUCCAAACUCCUACGGGAGGCAGCAGUGAGGAAUAUUGGUCAAUGGGCGAGAGCCUGAACCAGCCAAGUAGCGUGAAGGAUGACUGCCCUAUGGGUUGUAAACUUCUUUUAUAAAGGAAUAAAGUCGGGUAUGGAUACCCGUUUGCAUGUACUUUAUGAAUAAGGAUCGGCUAACUCCGUGCCAGCAGCCGCGGUAAUACGGAGGAUCCGAGCGUUAUCCGGAUUUAUUGGGUUUAAAGGGAGCGUAGAUGGAUGUUUAAGUCAGUUGUGAAAGUUUGCGGCUCAACCGUAAAAUUGCAGUUGAUACUGGAUAUCUUGAGUGCAGUUGAGGUAGGCGGAAUUCGUGGUGUAGCGGUGAAAUGCUUAGAUAUCACGAAGAACUCCGAUUGCGAAGGCAGCCUGCUAAGCUGCAACUGACAUUGAGGCUCGAAAGUGUGGGUAUCAAACAGGAUUAGAUACCCUGGUAGUCCACACGGUAAACGAUGAAUACUCGCUGUUUGCGAUAUACAGCAAGCGGCCAAGCGAAAGCGUUAAGUAUUCCACCUGGGGAGUACGCCGGCAACGGUGAAACUCAAAGGAAUUGACGGGGGCCCGCACAAGCGGAGGAACAUGUGGUUUAAUUCGAUGAUACGCGAGGAACCUUACCCGGGCUUAAAUUGCAGAUGAAUUACGGUGAAAGCCGUAAGCCGCAAGGCAUCUGUGAAGGUGCUGCAUGGUUGUCGUCAGCUCGUGCCGUGAGGUGUCGGCUUAAGUGCCAUAACGAGCGUAACCCUUGUUGUCAGUUACUAACAGGUUCCGCUGAGGACUCUGACAAGACUGCCAUCGUAAGAUGUGAGGAAGGUGGGGAUGACGUCAAAUCAGCACGGCCCUUACGUCCGGGGCUACACACGUGUUACAAUGGGGGGUACAGAGGGCCGCUACCACGCGAGUGGAUGCCAAUCCCCAAAACCUCUCUCAGUUCGGACUGGAGUCUGCAACCCGACUCCACGAAGCUGGAUUCGCUAGUAAUCGCGCAUCAGCCACGGCGCGGUGAAUACGUUCCCGGGCCUUGUACACACCGCCCGUCAAGCCAUGGGAGCCGGGGGUACCUGAAGUGCGUAACCGCGAGGAGCGCCCUAGGGUAAAACUGGUGACUGGGGCUAA